rnacentral:rRNA from 1 species
UACGGAGGGUGCAAGCGUUGUCCGGAAUUAUUGGGCGUAAAGAGCUCGUAGGUGGCCUGUCGCGUCGGCUGUGAAAACUCGGGGCUCAACUCCGAGCUUGCAGUCGAUACGGGCAGGCUAGAGUUCGGCAGGGGAGACUGGAAUUCCUGGUGUAGCGGUGAAAUGCGCAGAUAUCAGGAGGAACACCGGUGGCGAAGGCGGGUCUCUGGGCCGAUACUGACGCUGAGACGCGAAAGCGUGGGGAGCAAACAGG